GCCAGAUGUGGUGGUGCACUCCUGUAAUCCAGCUCCUCAGGAGGCUGAGGCAGGAGGAUUGCUUGAGCCCAGGAGAUCAAGGCUGCAGUGAACCGAGAUUGCACCACUGCACUCCAGCCUGGGUAAAAGAGCAAGAUCUUGUCUCAA
rnacentral:SRP_RNA from 1 species